rnacentral:lncRNA from 1 species
GCAAACUAAUUAAAGAUACUGAGGACAAUGAUAUGUUGAUAAACAAAUUUUUUGAUGAAUUCAUUCUGCAAUUUCAUACUUAAAAUAUAAAUACAUACAGACAAAAAAUAUUCCUAAAAAUACUUCAUGGUCAAGGUACGUAACACAGAAUUGAGAAUUCGAAGUUUAUCUUUUAAUAUUUUGAAUGUUAUUGAUCAUACGGCUGAAUUCUUAUUACAAAUCCUUCUUCUACUGAAAAUCUUUUACACACCAAAUAUUUCAUGUAAUAAUCUUCAAAACCCACGAUUACUAUACAUAAUUAACAACUCCAUUAAACUCCUUAAAGCAAAGAAUAGUUUAUGGUGAUUUCCAUGACUAGCACAAAUUGAUAUCAGUUGCACUAUCCCAUUAGGAAGGCUCAAAAUCAGCUACCCUGUGGAUUGUUGGGAAUUAUUAGAAUUCAUCCAUUAAAAUCAAUUCCCAAGCAAAGAUUGAACCCCCUUUCAUUAGGGAUCCCAACAGCUCCUCUCUCCCCAGACUCAUCUCCAGAAUACACAAAAACCUAGAGAUUGAGCCCCCUUUCAUUAACAGGUUUUUUGCAUUUUGCAGGUUGAUCAACUAGUACAGUUUCUGUCAGUGGUAUCAGCAUUUCCAAUACUCAUUCUGCUGAAACUAUAUCAGUUGAGCCAAGUUUCUCCUUUCAUCUACACACAUACAUAUAUGCAGAUCUAACAACCACAGCUACAGACCAACACUAUCACACAAUCAACCCAGCAUGAACAACUAUUCAUACAAAGGAGCUCCCUUAUGCAUCAAAUGUUCUACCACGCUCAACAUUCAAUAACUAGAUUUUUACAUCAGGAAAAGGCUCAAUUUUUAUACCACUCUCUUCUGUCAAAUAUACCUGGCAGCAGCAGCACAGCACAUCUCCACCAGGAGAAUUUUUGUUAACUUCCAUUUGGCUUUCCUUGACCUCAAUGUCAAAGCUAAGUGGAAGAUAAUCUUUCUCUUUGAUGUGGUUUAUGUACCACCCCUUAUAGACUUUUUCAAUGUCAAAGCUAAGUGUAAUGUAUGUAGUUCAUGUUGUACAUGGAAGAAAACAUUAUUAUCCUUUUGCUUAGCUCACAUAAGCUUAUUUAUGCCUGUGUAUAGUUGACCUAGGCCUACCAAAACUUUAUUUUGUACCACCAAUUGGCUAUUAUUGCUGGAUAAAUAAUUGGAUCCUCCUUACAGGUCUAACAUACCAUAGUGUUCAGGUGCCACUUGGUUUCCCGAUGUGGAUGACCAAGUGCAUUUUUAUUUUAUAUGUGGAGGUAACGUUCACGCCCCCUCCACUUUUGUUGUAUUAUAUUUCUUAUUUAUAGAAAUCAAUCCCAAGCACAAUGGCUAGUGGAUUUAGUUAAAAAAAAAAAGAAACAAAGAUUGAAUACAGAGAAUGAGUGAUGUCUUUGUAAUGCUCUAUACGUGUUUUAGCUAAUCCAAAGCUCGUUUAAAGUUAACUGAGUGAUUAGAUUAUGUUAACAGAUGUUUAAAGUGAUACGAGACUUAGUAUAAGCAAUGUGAUGGCGCUUCGGGGAGAAAAAACCCGCUUUAUUCUACAACAUUGUAGAGAAGUUUUUGAGAGCAAGAACGACUAGGGCAUCACUAAUUUUUAUCCUACAUUUCUUUAUUAAUUUUAAAUAGAUAUACAAAGAUAUAAAUAUAGAUAAUAGAUAGUCUUAAAAUUGCCAAAUAAUUUUUUCUUAUUAUAGUGAUUUUUGAAAGAUGCACCAAAUUGAAUAUAGGAAAAGGGAUUUUGUUAUAGGAAAGUCUCAUAUUUUACGUAAUUAUGCUCAAUUUAUUUACAGCCAUCAUAUAGGGAAUAUAAUCAUCAAUAGUAAUAUUUACUCAAACGAUGAGUAAUUUAAGAAAUAAUAUAUAUAUAUAUAUAUAUAUAUAUAUAUAUUCAUACUUAAAAUUUAUUGAUCAUACGGCUGAAUUCUUAUUACAAAUCCUUCUUCUACUGAAAAUCUUUUACACACCAAAUAUUUCAUGUAAUAAUCUUCAAAACCCACGAUUACUAUACAUAAUUAACAACUCCAUUAAACUCCUUAAAGCAAAGAAUAGUUUAUGGUGAUUUCCAUGACUAGCACAAAUUGAUAUCAGUUGCACUAUCCCAUUAGGAAGGCUCAAAAUCAGCUACCCUGUGGAUUGUUGGGAAUUAUUAGAAUUCAUCCAUUAAAAUCAAUUCCCAAGCAAAGAUUGAACCCCCUUUCAUUAGGGAUCCCAACAGCUCCUCUCUCCCCAGACUCAUCUCCAGAAUACACAAAAACCUAGAGAUUGAGCCCCCUUUCAUUAACAGGUUUUUUGCAUUUUGCAGGUUGAUCAACU